rnacentral:rRNA from 1 species
AGAGUUUGAUCCUGGCUCAGGAUAAACGCUGGCGGCGUGCCUAACACAUGCAAGUCGAACGCCCUUCUUUCGGGAAGGGAGUGGCGGACGGGUGAGGAACACGUGGGUCAUCUACCUUCUGGUGAGGAAUACCGGCGAGAAAUCGCCGACAAUACCGCAUACGCUCUCUUGCGAAAGAGAGCAAAGCUCGUAAGGGCGCC